AUGGAGGAUUCCCUCGUGCCGCCUGUGCCUCCUGCCCCAACCACCCUUUUCCUCACUCGCCGGCGAUCACAUCUCGACAGCGCCUCCUACCGCACGCUCUCCCGGCUCUUCUCCCACUGCCUCCACCAUCGCCCCUCGCAGCUCGCUGCCCCGGCGCCCCUGGAAGUCGAGCCCGCCGCUGCGAACCCUAUAUGCGACGAGUCGCCACAGGGGUGCUCGGUACCGCCUGAAGACGCCGAGUCUGAACGGGGAAAGGACUUAGGAGAAGAGGAGACUGCGGUAAGGACUUCUGUCAUCGAGAACCCCUCACCCGCGGCAGUCGAUGCAGCCACCGGUAACCCUAUUGCAGACCCGGCUGUGGCACCACAGAGAUACAUGGAGCAUCAAGUGGCCGGGGUUCAGCGGGUGGAGGGCGUAACAGAUAUGGUUGUUGGGGGAAACGUCUGCCGUGAGACAGUUGCGUUACUGGAGGAGUUGGGGGCAGAGGAUGUUUUGAGGUCGAUGAAGGAUUGUUUGGAGGGGGAGGUUGACGAAUUGGCAGAGCCAGGUGUAGUGGUGGUCAAUGAUGAUGAACAUCUGCUGCUUGAUACGAUGAUGACCAACUUCUCAGGGUUGAUUGCUGAUGCCAGUGGCGGCACAACGUCAAUGCUGAACUACGGGGUUUCUGGAGGUGAACCACACAAUGAUGGCAACAUAGCUGAGGGGGUGAAAGAAUUGGGAGCUGGAACUGAAGAAGACAGACCUAUGGGUGAUUCAGAUCAGCACUCAGUUGAUGGUGGCGUGGUUGAGGAAGGAGAGAUUGAGGGUGACAUGCAGGCUCUGGAUGUAGAUGAAUCUGAUGAUUCGGAGCUCGAAGAUGCAGAUGAUGAGGAAUUGGGAGAGGAUUUUGCUAACAGAGUGUUGGGGGAGAAUGAAUCAUCUGGCCAGGACAUACGGUGUCUGAAUUUGCUUUCAACGCCUAAAAUUAAAGGAACCAGCGAUCUUGUACUGAACAAGGAAGGUUAUAUCAAGGAUGAUGCACUAAAGCAUGUUACCAGGGCGCAGGCUGUCAGUUAUGAUGAAAUUGUGGAAUGGAAUGAGACACCACUGCCUGAUACUGAGGCUCCCAAACCAGGGAAGAGAAAACGGCAUUUGACAGAGGAAAGAAAGGCUAAGAAGACGAAAAACAAACGGGUUAAGAGAGCACAGCAGCGGAUAGCGGAUGGUGUGAAAAGGCUGAAACUUGCACCAGUUAUAAAGCCGAAACCAGUGAAGUUAUGCCACUUCUACAUGCAUGGGAAGUGCCAGCAGGGCAAUGCUUGCAAGUUCUCACAUGAUACUACACCUUUGACAAAAUCUAAGCCCUGCACACAUUUUGCGCGCGGUUCUUGUUUGAAAGGAGAUGAUUGUCCCUAUGAUCAUGAGUUGUCAAAGUACCCUUGCCACAACUUUGUGGAAAAUGGAAUGUGCUUCAGAGGUGAUAAAUGCAAAUUUUCUCAUGUGGUGCCAACUGCAGAUGGUCCUUCCAAACCAGAUGCAAAGAAAUCUGAUGCGUCAUUGGUGUCUGAAAAACCCGGCAGAGAGCAAACAAGUAGUCAGAAAGCAUCAACGGUCCAUGAUGGCGAACGUGUAACUUCUGCUCCUACCAAACAUUACUCCAUCCUUAAAAAUCUUGCCGGCAUCUCAGUAAAUGCUCUAAAAGCAUCAACCGGUACACCAAAGGGUGUACAGUUUCGUCCUUCCAGUAAAGACAGAUCAAAUUCUAGCAUGCUGCAUCAGGAUGCUCUACCCAUCGAGAAGCAUAUGUAUACAAAUGGCAGUAAACAUCAGAAUUUUGGUGGACCGCAGGCUGAAGAAGGGGACAAAAAUGGCAUUCCAAAUAAACAGAGAUCAGCUCCACUGUUCGAUGAGAAGAACUCAUCAAAAGAAGCUAGUUCACAUCCAAGUUCAGACCCAGAGAGAACUAGUUUGCCUACUGGCUCUACUACAGUGCUUGGAUCACUCAGCACUCAGCACGAAGUUUCAGAGGCUUCAAGAAUUUUGCAGGAAUUCCUAUUUGGCGCUGGCAGUUAG
rnacentral:rRNA from 1 species